rnacentral:rRNA from 1 species
UUUAUGGAGAGUUUGAUCCUGGCUCAGGAUGAACGCUGGCGGCGUGCCUAAUACAUGCAAGUCGAGCGAACGGACGAGAAGCUUGCUUCUCUGAUGUUAGCGGCGGACGGGUGAGUAACACGUGGAUAACCUACCUAUAAGACUGGGAUAACUUCGGGAAACCGGAGCUAAUACCGGAUAAUAUUUUGAACCGCAUGGUUCAAAAGUGAAAGACGGUCUUGCUGUCACUUAUAGAUGGAUCCGCGCUGCAUUAGCUAGUUGGUAAGGUAACGGCUUACCAAGGCAACGAUGCAUAGCCGACCUGAGAGGGUGAUCGGCCACACUGGAACUGAGACACGGUCCAGACUCCUACGGGAGGCAGCAGUAGGGAAUCUUCCGCAAUGGGCGAAAGCCUGACGGAGCAACGCCGCGUGAGUGAUGAAGGUCUUCGGAUCGUAAAACUCUGUUAUUAGGGAAGAACAUAUGUGUAAGUAACUGUGCACAUCUUGACGGUACCUAAUCAGAAAGCCACGGCUAACUACGUGCCAGCAGCCGCGGUAAUACGUAGGUGGCAAGCGUUAUCCGGAAUUAUUGGGCGUAAAGCGCGCGUAGGCGGUUUUUUAAGUCUGAUGUGAAAGCCCACGGCUCAACCGUGGAGGGUCAUUGGAAACUGGAAAACUUGAGUGCAGAAGAGGAAAGUGGAAUUCCAUGUGUAGCGGUGAAAUGCGCAGAGAUAUGGAGGAACACCAGUGGCGAAGGCGACUUUCUGGUCUGUAACUGACGCUGAUGUGCGAAAGCGUGGGGAUCAAACAGGAUUAGAUACCCUGGUAGUCCACGCCGUAAACGAUGAGUGCUAAGUGUUAGGGGGUUUCCGCCCCUUAGUGCUGCAGCUAACGCAUUAAGCACUCCGCCUGGGGAGUACGACCGCAAGGUUGAAACUCAAAGGAAUUGACGGGGACCCGCACAAGCGGUGGAGCAUGUGGUUUAAUUCGAAGCAACGCGAAGAACCUUACCAAAUCUUGACAUCCUUUGACAACUCUAGAGAUAGAGCCUUCCCCUUCGGGGGACAAAGUGACAGGUGGUGCAUGGUUGUCGUCAGCUCGUGUCGUGAGAUGUUGGGUUAAGUCCCGCAACGAGCGCAACCCUUAAGCUUAGUUGCCAUCAUUAAGUUGGGCACUCUAAGUUGACUGCCGGUGACAAACCGGAGGAAGGUGGGGAUGACGUCAAAUCAUCAUGCCCCUUAUGAUUUGGGCUACACACGUGCUACAAUGGACAAUACAAAGGGCAGCGAAACCGCGAGGUCAAGCAAAUCCCAUAAAGUUG